AUGAAGAGGAGUCCUUUUCAGUGCUGUAGGGUUGAGGAUCGCUGAGUCACUGCAGCAGGAAGUGCGUGGUCGGAGCUGGAACAUGUGCUGUGCUGGUGCUGCGACAAGGAAGCUGUUGAAUCUGUUGCUGCUGUUGCUGCAUCUCUCUGCGACCCUGGAGUGGAGGAUUGCCAAUCUUUUUCAGAUACCAAAAUUGCCCUUAAUUGAAACACUAGAUUACUAUCCAAAGAAUACUAGAAUACUACAUAAUGGUGUGAACUAAAUGUAGGCCAAGAGAUUGGCAGUACCAGGAAUUUUAAUCAAUUGAUUGAAACGCCCACUUCGACUUUUCUACACAUUAUCACUGGACUUAUUGGAUUUAACUGACUUUGAGGGAUUGGUGCACAACCCCCUCUUGGCGGUGGUCUUUGUUCACACUAAUGUAUAAAUACAUUGUCCUCACUUGUAUGUUUAUAACACUUGAUAAAGGGCAUAGCGCCCAAAACAUGUUGUGGUAAUAAAAACACAUUCAAGCAGCAAGUACUGCGUCUGGCUGAAUCUCUCAGUACCCAGUGUGUAUUCCUCCAGCUCCACACAACACACAUGUAUGCAAUCUUCACUUUUUAUAUUGUACACUUAUGCACACUUUUACACACACACAUACUCCUACACACACACAUGUAUCCACAAAAAUAGAAACUGAGCAAUACGCAAGUUUUUUUUUGGAAAACCAUUAUAUGUAUUAAACUUUUUUUUAAGACCAGACAUUUUGACCACUAACCACACUGUGAGGUCAUUUAUUUUGUGAAAUUAUUCCAUUAGAUUUUUAGUGAUUUUAUGGCAUUUUAGUGCUGCACAAUUGUUCAUUACUUCUUUUAGUAAACAUUUGCAGCUUUGCAGUUUGGAGUAGAAAGACAAAUGUACCCAUUUUAGAUUUGGGGCGGGAUAUGUACUUUCCAAAAAUAAAUGGUUUUAUGGAUCAUCACCUUUCCUGGAGUGUCAGCCCUGAAAAUUCAUAUGCUUUAUAUCAUUAUAAAAUCCCUACAUGCCAUAUGCUUUGGUAAAUCCAUGCAUGUUGGGCUUCACACUGUUCAGAAGUCCUCCGUGGGUGGCCAUGUUAUAAAAGCAGAUUGGGCUUAAGAGGGGCAUUACCAUAUAACAGACCCUCCAUCUGGGCACCCCUUACCCCUAUGGCUGCUGAUACAUGUUAGUUAUGCUAUUAGACAUACUUAUGUCAGUGUUUAUUUUUUUUCAGAAAAGUUUGCAUUCUUACACAUAUCAGUUAUCCAAUAAAUGACAUCAUGUUGCCACAAAUAAUUUCUUUUUCUGAAGUAUGGAAACAGAUGGACACAAGGUCAUAAGAUGAAAGUUCCCCAUUCUUGAAGGAAUCAGCUGCCUGAACCGAUAGGAUCUCUCUGUGAUUCUGCUGUACCACAGAGGAGGACAAACAUUGCUGUAGGAUAGAGGAAUAAGGAACAAGGCUGGGGUAGAGCGAGACAGACCUGGACUAGUCACAAAGACUCAGGCCUAGUGCAGAAAAUUGAAGGGGCAGCAUUCCACCCAUGAGCAUGGAUAAAGGAAGAAUGAUGGGAGCUGUACUGAGAAAUGGUUAGGGUAUGCUUCUUUCUAAUGCAAACUAGAGGGGGAGUUGUGGGUGCAAGCUAAGGUUGUCACUUCCUUCAUGAUUGGGGCAGAGCUGAUGACAUCAGAGAUGGAGCAAGUGACCCCAGGGGCAGGUCAAUGAUGUUUAGGGUUGGGUCAAUUACAUCCAGGGUCGGACUGGUGGGUGCAGGGCUCAUCGAUGCUGCUGUCCCAGGGUCCCCUGCCCCCCCAAGGUGUCCCCACUGUGCUGCCACCCCCCUACAUGGGUCACCGCCACCCACCCUACCCCCUCCCCUAGCAUGUAUACCUACC